UACAGAGGGGGCAAGCGUUGUUCGGAGUUACUGGGCAUAAAGGGCGCGUAGGCGGUCGUGCACGUCGAGGGUGAAAUCCCCGGGCUUAACCCGGGAACUGCCUUUGAUACGGCGCGACUCGAGUGCGGGAGGGGAGAGUGGAACUCCUGGUGGAGCGGUGAAAUGCGUAGAGAUCGGGAGGAAGGCCGGUGGCGAAGGCGGCGCUCUGGAACAUUUCUGACGCUGAGGCUCGAAAGCGUGGGGAGCAAACAGG
rnacentral:rRNA from 1 species